GUGAAUCAUCGAAUUUUUGAACGCAAAUUGCGCCUUCUUUCGGGAGGCAUGUCUGUUUGAGGUCACCAUUUAACAAAUAAUGUUCGGGUCGCUAUUCGGCGUGCACACGUUGAUGAGCUUUUCCGAAAUAUCAGGUUUUUUUGUUGGCGCAUAAUGAACAGCGUUGGCUUUUUCUUUCGAUUCUCUUUUAGUAAGUAAAUUUUCGACGCUUGGGUUGAUGAAGAGUG
rnacentral:misc_RNA from 1 species